AAUUUCUGUCCAGCACAAUUCCCAUCAUGCUCUUUUUUUCAUGCUGAGCCAUUGCCUGGAAAUCUCUCUGUGACUGUCAUCACCUCCAGCCCAGGAGACGGGCAUGUACCCAUCCUGCUAACGGGCAUCAUGCUAACUAGGAAGUUCACCUUUCCUUGGGCUUCUCCAUCAAGAAUGUUCACUUAAUCCCCCAGCAUGUGGGUUAUGUACACCCCCUCCCUAAUUACAGCCUCUCUCCCUCUAAGAAUAGUUUCUCCAUUUCUAUCCUCCUCCUAAACACAGAGCAGCACCCUCCAUUCAUCUUCCAAAAUAGCAGUGGUUGUUUUAUUUUAAAACCAUCCCUCCCCCUGUGUCUUUCUCAGCCUCCUCCUCUGUCUUCUCUCUCUCUCCUUUUAACAAACACAACCAAUGGACUUUCUUCUUUAGUUUUUCUCCCAAAUGUCCUCCAUCCCUACCUCCUCCCAGAAGAGGAGCCAUUCUCUCUUUCUGGAAUGCCUACUUCAGAAGGAACUUCUGUCCGUUCCUGUCUUCCCUUUAGCUAGUCAUUAACCUGGGUAUCCUCUCACCUUCUAAUAGGUUGUCAUAAUAAUCUAAACUUUAGCCAGCGUUGACUGGGUGCCAGGCACUCCGUGGCUCAUUUCACUUUUCCAACCUGUAAAAUAGGCAUGAUUCACGAUCCCAUUUCACAGAAGGGAAUGUUGAGAAAUCCUCUGUCUCAAGUCAUGCGGGUGGAAAAUGGCAGUGGGCACAAUUCAAAUCCAAAUCUAGGUGGCUGUGACUCCAGCAUUCGCAUCCGAUGCCACACCCCAUGUAACUGGAUCUCUAGCUACCGUGCAUAUGAGUUUCCUGUGGUUGCCACAGCAAAUUUCCAUAAACUGGGUGGCUUAAAACAACAGAGGAUUAUUCGACUAUUCGAUCACAGUCUGCAGGCUGGAGCCUGAAGUCAAGGUGUUGGCAGAGUCAUUUCUGAGGAAGAAUUCUUCCCCUGCAUCUCUUCUAGCUGCCAGUGGCUGCUGGCAGUUGAGGUUGUUCCUUGGCUUAUAUAGACUGACAGCUUCUCCUUUUCUAAUCUCUUCUAAAGGUAUUUGUCAUUGGAUCUAGGAUCCAUCCUGAUCCAGAAUGCUCUCAUCUUGAAUCCUUAACAUAAGUACUUCUGAAAGAUUCUUCCCGAAUAAGGAUACAUCAUAGGUUCCAGAUGGACAUAUCCUGGGGGGGAGGAAGAGGGGGUGGGCACCAUUCAACCCACAUAAGAGAAAAGGGGGGCAAGGCAUGCAGUCACCAGCUGUUUCCAGUCCAGGCUGCCGAGCACUCGAAGAUGCCCAGUGAAAACUCGGUUUAUCACUUCAUCUUCACAACAAUAUCCAAGGAGAUUCCUUUUAAUUCCAGAAUUUUAAAAGGAUAACAGAUGGAGUUGUUGAAAAGAAAAUUUACAUUGAAGAAUAAUAUACAUACACACACACACACAACUUAAGCAGAUAUGUAACAAAUUUUAAAUGCCAAGCAGAUUUAAGGGAUUAGUCUGGUGGGCAACCUCUACCUGUCUGAAGUGUUGGGCAUCUGCCCCCACUUUGGCCUGGAUCGCUGUCUUCCUUCCUUCUCCUGGUUCCAGGUGUGCCACCCUCUCUACCCAGUUGCACACCCAUCCCUAGCUGGUCCCUUCCUGGUACCAGAUCUUACACCUUCACUGCCAAGUUCUCUGAGCUCCAGCCUCAGCAGCUCUCAUCUUGACAACAUUUACCCAAUGCACUAUUUUUUCCAUGUCAUUGUCACCGCCACUCCAGUCACUGAUUCCCACCCCCUUCCAUGGAAAUAACAGCCAGAGGUGCACUCUGGACCUCCGUGCUGCUGACACAGCCAUGCCACCUGCCAUGGUAUCCAGAGGAGGGUCACGGCCCACUGGGAACAUCGUGGGAGGUGAAUCCCUCCCCAGCUGUGCACUGCGGCUGAAUUGAUUUUUACAAUUUAAUUAUUUCUGUACUUAGUGCCUUAUGGAUUGAAGCAGAGGCAGAUCCUGCAGAAACGCCUGUAAAUCUUGGCAGAACAGAGGAGUUUGUGGCCUGGGUUAUGUUAUAAGGCUCUUCCUGGAAAGGUGCCAUAACAGGUGCUCUGUGAAAAGGAAAACUAUCUCCAAAGGGAGAGAGAGCCAUGGGGUUGUCUCCAGACACCCAUCACCUCCAAGAAAGCAUGGAUCUCUAGAGUUUGAUGUGCCCUUUGGGGGCUGCUAAAAGCUCCAGAAGCCUCUGUGAGUUUGCAAGAACAGACAGAACCAAGUUGUCCUCCCAAGAAGGAGGAGGAGAACUGGGACUGAGAGCCAGGGGUAAGCCCCUGCCUGGGUUAAAACCCUGAAAUACACCUGUGCCAGUGGGGACGGUUCCCAGCAUCCAGAACCUCCAGGUAAUCCAGCCCGUGAAUUAACCCCUGACUCAGCAGGGGCCCCCAGGCACCUGUCAUGAUGAGUUGGUGCUUUGUAAUUGCUUCCUAAAGAUUUGAGAAAGAGGAAAGACAGAAAACAGUGCAACUGCAAAUUCCCUGGGCUGGAGGGAAGGAGGGGGCCUGGCUCUGGGUUGCAGCCAGAAGCCCAGGGAGGAGAAAUGUGUCAGUGGCGGUUUCUGAGCUCGUGAGCCAUUUGCUGGCACGUCUGUUAUCCAUCACACAUUUGGACAGAAUUCUGGCCUUGCCCAAGGUUAAGUUGACUUGCCAGAGCAAGGGGAAUGGCAUGUGCUUGCGACAGAUGCCCGUGCUUUGAGGUUCCAGGUGGUCAGGAGCCCUGCUUGUCCCAGAGAGGACAUGUUCCAGCUGGUGAGUCCAGGGACAGGUGGGUGGGGCAGAGCUCAGCAGGGGGGACAGUGGCAAACACAACUUGUCAUAUCACCUUUGUUGGCUGGAUCAUUGGGGGAAGGAGGGUGUUGUAUUUAGCCUUGCUUUCUUACACAGAGAGGAGACCUCUCCGGGGGCCAGGGAGACUGAGACAGUAGCUUCUUGAAAUGCUCUCUCUCCUCCUGGACUGCCUGUCCUUUCUGCCAGGGGCCUUUCUGUUUCUGCCUCCAUGAUUUUUUGCCCAGAGUUGUGCUUUGUUGUGCUUCUGCUCUGCGCUAACAUGGGCCAGGAACAAGCCCAAUGGCCACAGAGCUGAAUCAGAGCCUGGCCUUGGUUUUGAACUGAUCCCAGUCCAGCAGUGACCAUCACUACAUUCCUCUCCAGGGACAUUUUCUGUGUGGUCAAGUGCAUCCCAUUCCUCCUGGCUUCACCAUCUUUCCCAUGAAAGGUGAUCUCUUACACCUGCCUACAAACUGGACUGUGCUGCUCCUGCACCCAUGCAAGGGCCUGUCUCCAAAAUAUUCCUUAGCUUUUUCCCUGUUUGAUAGUCAAGAUCCUUAAAGUACAAUGAACUUCUCCCUUCUUUUCUCAAGGUUUCUGUCUGAAUUAAAUGAUGAAUACAUUCCUCAAAGUUAUCCUCCCAGAAUUUCUUGGGCCUCAGUUUUCUAAUCUGUUAAGACAGAGGAGUUGAGCUAGAUGAGUUUAGCAUCUGACAUGCCAGUCUUCCUAUUUUAAAUUUUGCUAAUAGGUGAUAGGCCACAAGGCACCUAUGCAUGAGUUCUCAUGAGAUCUCUUCCUCCAGGACACAGACACAUUUCAGGGCUCAUGACUUGGCAAGCAGAGCAAGCCAACCCUUGGCUGGGUUUUGGCUUUUCCUUACCUCUUUGGCUAGUUGCCAUUGUGCAGUGAACAACCUGUCCAACCAUACAUGGCAGUCUUAUUUUCUAGGUACUAGCAGAACAUGCUGUUACAAAGAACAAGUAGAUGAUAGUCUUUGUUCAGAAUGAUGUUUCUCAACCAUGUCCUCCUCUGCCAGAGGACAUAUGGCACUAUUUAGAGACAUUUUUGUUUGUCACAAUGGAAGGAUGGGUGAGAAAGUGGUGGGGGUGCUACUGGCAUCUAGUGGGUAGAGACAGAGCUUCUAACCAUCAUGAUAUGCAUGGGACAGCCCCACAGCAAAAAUUAUCCAGUUCCAAAUGUCAACAGUGCUAAGGUUGAGAGACAUUGCUUCAGAAUAUUAGCCACCAUCAGAAUUAGGUAUUUCAUAAACAAAAAUAAGUAUUUAUUUAGGAAAUGGUAGCAAAAGUUUAAAUCAGGAGUAAUUUUAGCAGCUAUUUCUGAACAGUGUGUCUGAACCCUUGUUUUCUCUGUGCCUCUUUGAACUGUAUGUCUGGUAUUGCAAUACUUUCACCUUUGGCAAGAAGAACACAUUUUCAUUUGAGAAACCCCCCAAAAAAAAAAAA
rnacentral:lncRNA from 1 species